AGUGAACGCUGGCGGUAGGCCUAACACAUGCAAGUCGAACGGCAGCACAGUAAGAGCUUGCUCUUACGGGUGGCGAGUGGCGGACGGGUGAGGAAUACAUCGGAAUCUACUUUUUCGUGGGGGAUAACGUAGGGAAACUUACGCUAAUACCGCAUACGACCUACGGGUGAAAGCGGGGGAUCUUCGGACCUUGCGCGAUUGAAUGAGCCGAUGUCGGAUUAGCUAGUUGGCGGGGUAAAGGCCCACCAAGGCGACGAUCCGUAGCUGGUCUGAGAGGAUGAUCAGCCACACUGGAACUGAGACACGGUCCAGACUCCUACGGGAGGCAGCAGUGGGGAAUAUUGGACAAUGGGAGCAAGCCUGAUCCAGCCAUACCGCGUGGGUGAAGAAGGCCUUCGGGUUGUAAAGCCCUUUUGUUGGGAAAGAAAAGCAGCAGGUUAAUACCCCGCUGUUCUGACGGUACCCAAAGAAUAAGCACCGGCUAACUUCGUG
rnacentral:rRNA from 1 species